rnacentral:lncRNA from 1 species
UUUACUUACUGAUGACGCUGUUGUUGGUGGAACCAAAAAUUGAGAUAAUAUUGUUGAAAUAGUGGCAACAACAAUCAUUAUGGUAUCAAAACAACAAGAAAAAUGUUUCAUGAACUCUGUUCAAAGUCAGCAGUACAGUAAACGCCAGCAAUCUUUAACUGGAUGUUUUGUGACAUAAAUCUUUACAACUGAAAUGUUUACAAUGGAUGACUGGAUUAUUUGACAUGCUUGUAGAAAAGCGUGCUAAUAUGGACAAAUUUUAGAAAUGCCAUUUGUCCUAUUAUUAAUAUAGUUAAAUGAAUGAACAUAGUAAAUGAAUGAACUCACUGUCUUGAACAAUUAAAAUCAAAUUCUUCCUCAGUUAAAUUAUUAAAGUACCAUUGCUAUCAAGAAUUAAUUGUAAUGUAGGCAUUGUCAAAAAUAUAUAUAUAUUU